rnacentral:lncRNA from 1 species
GAAGAACAUUGCAUCUUACAGGAACGCAGAGCCCCUCCAUGUGAGCUACUCUUCCUGGGAACGCUGGUCGUACCAAGGACAGCCCUUUGGCAAGCAUGCAGCCUUUGUUCCUCUGCCUACUUAACCAAGCUUUUCUUAGGGGGCUGUUGUGGGUGUAUGCAUACUUCUGUCCAGCUGGCCGCCACUGGACACUCUCCCUGUAAGUAAGCCCCCAUAAAUCUAUGUGUCUCAUUCGGAGUCUCUGGAUCAUUUCUUCAGUCUCUUGGCACAACAUCCCGCUGCCCUAGCCCAGCUGGGCUUGUGGCAGAACACUUGGCAAGCCAGCCAGGAGGCCGAGGAAACCCCUGACAACGUCUGCCAACCUCUUCGCUACUUGGGCACACACCGUUGCUGACAUAGAAAAUUUCUCCAACUGCUGGGCACGUAGCGAGCUGCCUCUCUCUUCAACUGUGGGGCACCUCCAACCAUGCCUUCUUCAACCAUGGCACCUCCAAGCCGCCAGUGCCUCUGAGUGAAGGGCCCUAAGAGAGUGGAAGAGUGCCUCCCACUUUCCCAUUUCUAACCCCCUUCUGUCAAGCAGCCUGUCCUUACCCUCCUAUGCUGCCACGCGAAAGUAUAUCUUUCAGCUUGUGCAUAAGCAAGCUAACAUAACUCAGAGGGUGGGGUACUCUGUUUUUGAUGGGGUAGAAUGGUUGACUGCUGUACAAAUAGAAUUGAAGUGUUUCCUUCCCUGGUGCAUUGAACGUCAUCAUAACUCUGCACCGUCACAUAAAAGUAUUUCAAAAAAUAUGGGGUGGACACCUAAAGCAAUGUAUAACCAAACAGUUAUCAUUACUGCUGAGAAGUGGCUGGGACAACAAGACAACACCAUGAAAGGGGCCUAUGCCUCUCCCUGGGGUGGUUGUGGGCUUGUGGUGCCCACGGCUGGCCCUAUCUGCCCUAUAAUUGGACCGGCAGUUGCACAUUGGGCACCCCUACAUCCCUGCACGCAUCCUGUCUUCCCUUCAACAGCUUCCUUCUAACUGGGGGACAGUCUGUGAUCACCAUCGUGUGCAGUGUACUGCAGGGUGGUCUUACCCCUUCGCUGUCUUUUAUCCACAAGCUGCAGUUGUAGAUGUAGAAGGGCAAGUGUCUGCCUUAGCCCAACACAUGGCAACAGCCCUCAAUAAUACCGGACAUGCAAUAACUCUGCUGAAUGAAGAAACAGCCCAGAUGAGACAAGUAGUGUUACAAAAUAAAAUGGCCUUGGACAUGCUUACUGCAGCCCAAGGAGGGGACCUGUGUCCUAACCAAAGUAUAAUGUUGUGUGUAUAACCUUGAUUAUGCCCACAAUGUUUCCUCUGCAAUGGCCUCCUUACGUGCUCACGUACAGGCCAUUGACAACCUGUCCCCUGACCCGGUAUCUGCUUGGAUACAAUCCCUUCCCUCUACCUGGCAACAUUUUCUGUGGUGUCAUUGUCUUUUUAUUACUUCGUGUAUUCUCACAUUGUGCUCUCUAUUGCUGUUGUUGUAUCUGGUCAUGACGCUCAUCUGUGUGACUGGCUCAAGGGACUCCACAGAAGAGUGACGCGAUAAGACUGUGAGGGCCAUUAGGACACAUGGUGGGUGGAGUGUAGGGCCUGGGCCUUGCUUGCUCAGCAGAAACGCCCAGGCCCAUUACAACCAUGUGUCCUUCUGGCUCCCUUCUGGGCAGGCAGCCCAGCUUCCAGGAUUUGGAACGAUCUUGGCCUGGCCACCCUGGAUCCUCCCUUAUCCCACGAGGAGAACAUCGUAUCUUACAGGGACACAGAGCCCCUCCCAUGUGAACUAUUGUUCCUGGGAAUGCUGGUCGUACCAAGGACAGCCCUUUGGCAGGCAUGCAGCCUUUGUUCCUCUGCCUACUUAGGCAAGCUUCUCUUAGGGGGCAGUUGAAGGUGUACAGAUACUUUCAUCCAGCUGGCCACCACUGGACACUCUCCCUGUAAGUAGAGCCCCAAUAAACCCAUAUGUCUCGUU